rnacentral:lncRNA from 1 species
ACCAAACCCGAACUCAAAACUAUCGCAAAAUUGAUUCAAACCAGAAAACGCUACCUUCGCUGUUUCCCUCAGACGGACUUCUAACUUGCCAUAUUUGUCUUUCAAUUUCAUCACUCCGUUCUUCAGGCGGGUUUCUGACUUGCAGUUUCUUUAAUUUCCCGUUUCACCACCUUGUUCUUCAGGUGGACAUCCUGACUUACAGAUUCAUCACCCUAUUCUUCAGGAGGGCCCCUGAAACCAGAAUCAAAACUAGAGCAAAAAUUAACCCUAACAAAGAUUAUAAUAAAAAGGAUUUCAUCAUUUUUUGAAAGUAAUGUCCCAUUUUCCAAGUGGGUCUGAACAGAAAGUAAAUUUCCAUUUUUUAGAAGGGUCUUGACUGAAAGUGAAAUUUCAUUUUUCAGGAGGGUCCAGAACAAAAGGUAAAAUCCUAUUUUUCAGGAGGGUCCUGAACAGAAGUAAAGUCUCAUUUUUCAGGAGAGCCCUGAAUAGAAAGUAAAAUCCCAUUUUUCAGAAGGGCCUGGAACAUAAAGUAAAUUCCUAUUUUUUAGGAGGUUCUUGAACUGGAAUGUAAAAUCCCAUUGUUCAGGAGGGCGCUGAACAAAAAGUAAAAUCUCAAUUUUCAGGAGGGUCUUGAACAGAAAGUAAAAUCCCAUUUUUCAAGAGGGCCUUGAACAGAAAGUAAAAUCUCAUUUUUCAGGAGGGUCCUGAACAGAAAGUAAAUUCCUAUUUUUCAGGAAGGUCCUAAACAGAAAGUAAAAUCCCAUUUUUUAGGAGGGUCCUGAACAGAAAGUAAAAUCUCAUUUUUCAGGAGGGUCCUGAACAGUAAAAUCCCAUUUUUCAGGAGGGUCCUGAACAUAAAGUAAAAAUCCCAUUUUUCAGGAGCGUCCUGAACAGAAUGUAAAAUCCCAUUUUUCAGGAGGGACUGAAGCAUAAAGUAAAAUUUUAUUUUUAAGGAGGAUCCUGAACAUAAAGUAAAAUCUCAUUUUUCAGUAGGGUCCUGAACAGAAAGUAAAAUACUAUUUUUCAGGAGGGUCCUGAAUAUAAACUAAAAUCCCACUUCUCAGGAGGGUCUUGAACAUAAAGUAAAAUUUCAUUUUUCAAGAAGGUCCUAAACAUAAAGUAACAUUCCAUUUUUCAGGAGGGUCAUGAACAUAAAGUAAAAUCCCAUUUUUCAGGAGGGUCCUAAACAUAAAGUGAAAUCUCAUUUUUCAGGAGGGUCCUGAGCAUAAAGUAAAAUUUCAUUUUUCAAGAAGGUCCUAAACAUAAAGUAACAUUCCAUUUUUCAGGAGGGUCAUGAACAUAAAGUAAAAUCCCAUUUUUCAGGAGGGUCCUGAACAGAAAGUAAAAUUCCAUUUUUUAGGAGGGUCCUGAAUAGAAAGUAAAAUACUAUUUUUCAGGAGGGUCCUGAAUAUAAACUAAAAUCCCACUUCUCAGGAGGGUCUUGAACAUAAAGUAAAAUUUCAUUUUUUCAGGAGGGUCAUGAACAUAAAGUAAAAUCCCAUUUUUCAGGAGGGUCCUGAACAUAAAGUAAAAUUUCAUUUUUCAAGAAGGUCCUAAACAUAAAGUAACAUUCCAUUUUUCAGGAGGGUCAUGAACAUAAAGUAAAAUCCCAUUUUUCAGGAGGGUCCUGAACAUAAAAUAAAAUCUCAUUUUUCAAGAAGGUCUUGAACAUAAAGUAAAAUAUCAUUUUCAGGAGGGUCCUGAACAUAAAGUAAAAAUUUCAUUUUUCAGGAGGGUCCUGAACAUAAAGUAAAAUCUUAUUUUUCAGGAGGGUCCUGAACAGAAAGUAAAAUCCCAUUUUUUAGGAGGGUCCUGAACAGAAAGUAAAAUCUCAUUUUUCAGGAGGGUCCUGAACAUAAAGUAAAAAUCCCAUUUUUCAGGAGGGUCCUGAACAUAAAGUAAAAUCCCAUUUUUCUGGAGGGUCCUGAACAGAAAGUAAAAUCUCAUUUUUUAGGAGGGUCCUGAACAUUAAGCAAAAUUCUAUUUUCCAGGUAAGUCCUGAACAUAAAGUAAAAUCUCCCAUUUUCCUGGAGGGUCCUGAACAUAAAGUAAAAUCCCAUUUUUCAGGAGGGUCCUGAACAGAAAGUAAAAUCUCAUUUUCCAGGAGGGUCUUGAACAGAAAGUAAAAUCCCAUUUUACAGGAGGGUCCUGAACAGAAAGUAAAAUCCUAUUUCCUGGAGGGUCCUGAACAGAAAGUAAAAUCUCAUUUUUCAGGAGGGUCUUGAACGAAAAGUAAAAUCUCAUUUUUCAGGAGGGUCUUGAACAUAAAGUAAAAUCCCCAAAUAUGGUUUCCCAAAGGUAGCUGAACUUAUUGAACAAAACUUUUCCCCUGUUUCAUCAAAGAGAAUUUGUUAGUUAAAACUUAGUGGUGGCUUGCAGCACUUGAUUUCUCAGCAUCUGCUCCAGCACUUGUUCCUUUCUUUUUGGUUCCGAAUCGCUGACACUUUCCCUUAUUUUACCGCAUCAUUGACCCAGGCCAGAUCGGGGGAAAUGACUUCUGACUUAAAUAAUGAAUUUCUAUUUGACCAUGCCUCUGAGAUGCACCCUUUUCCAAAUUUGAAUACUCCCACGAACCCAGCAGUCUGUCGGUUGAUAGACUUUCUUUGCUUUGUAUUGAAUUACGAUCAUAUUUCUUUCAUAUGCUGCUCCUCAGCUUUUUCUCAUACAAUUGGAAAGACUAAUAGCAAGUUUUGAAAUCCUUUCGUACUUGUUUUGACACAGACUUGACUCAAAAUGUAAAGAAAUGAUGGUGACUUUUAUUUUGAUAAGUGACAUAAAAAGACAAAAAUAUAAAUAUGCAAAUGAAAGAAAAGGGCUAUGUCCCUUAUUCAAAAAUAAAACUUAUCUGAAUACGGAAACCAACUCCAAUGAGUAUGACAUGCAUUUUGGAUUAAGCUGUCUGAUCUUUCUACCCAAACUUCAACCUUUUGUUGUUGAGUUCAUGCCCUUUCCGUUGAGUUGCUUCUUCAAACCCAUUGGACUCAUACAUCUCAUUCAAUUGACGAUAUCUUGAAAGAUUUUUUGCCAAUAACCUCUUUUCUUUUCACUUUUCUCUCGAACUCCCCAUCGCCUUACGGUGCUCAUAAGGGUUUUCACUAAUAAGACUCCCUCAUUUUUAUUUUCUCUCAACUCCCCAUCGCCUUAUAGUGCCCGUAAGGGUUUUCACCAGUAAGACUCUGUCGUUUUUAUUUCUCUCGACUCACCAUCACCUUAUGGUGCCCGUGAGGGUUUUCACCAGUAAGACUCUCUCAUUUUUAUUUCUUUCCUGAUUUCUUAUGCUGAGAAAGACAAUUAGUACCCUAUAAUGUAUCAUCAUAUCCAUUGCAUGUUUAGCCUUAACAUUAUCAAAGAUUGAUCUGAAGGACUUUCUUUGAUUGUAGCUUGGCUUUUGGAUAAGGUUAGGAAAGGAUGGCAAGAGGCUCAAACGACACUUGAAAUAGGGGUGGGACUUACAACUUUUGGAAUUGACUCAACAACAUGUUAGCUCAUGCCCUAGUUUUUUGUUGACUGGGUGACUCUAAAAUCUUUAUUUGGUUGGACCGAGCCCUGAAUAGGGCAGCCUAUGUAUCUCACUCCCAAGAGAGGAGAAUCGGGUCGCACGUAGUUCUAUUAGCUUGUUCUUUGUUUUGAUUUGAUUUUUUUUCUUUUUUUUUUUCAAACUCUUUCUUUUAUUCUUAUUUUUCUGAUAUUUAUCUUUGACUCUAAUUUGAUUCCAAAAGAGGGAUAUGAAAAAAAAUAAAACUAUGCUCAAACGGGUAAACAAAGGAUGACACAAUGUUUCGCUAGAAGAAUAAAAUGCCUUCAUCAUAUCAAUCUUCAAAAAUUCAAGCACUAAAUAUGCAAUAAAAUCAACAAAGGAUAAAAUAUCAUACAUGAUAUCUUUUGACCGCAUCAGCAUUGAUAGCCAUUUUUGCCAUUUUGCCUUCAAUAUCUGUCAAAUAUAAGGCUCUAUUAGGCAACACUUUCUUUACAAUAAAAGGACCUUGCCAGUUUGGAGAGAACUUUCCUUUCGCUUCAACCUGGUGAGGAAUAAUACGCUUCAAUACCAACUGACCAACUUAAAAAUGACUGGGCCGUACCUUUUUGUUAUACGCUAGAGCCAUUCUCUUCUGAUACAAUUGUCCAUGACAUACCGACGUUAGCCUUUUUUUCUCAAUCAAACUCAAUUAUUCCAGUCGGGUUUUGAUCCACUCGUCAUCAUCAAUCUCUGCUUUCACAAUGACUCGAAGAGAGGAAAUUUCAACUUCUGCAGGGAUGACUGCUUCUGUCCCAUACACCAAAAAAUAUGGAGUUGCCCCUGUUGAAGUGCAAACAGUAGUGCGAUAACCUAGCAACGCAAAUGGCAACUUCUCAUGCCAUUGUCUAGACCCUUGUACUAUUUUUCGCAGUAUCUUCUUGAUAUUCUUAUUGGCGGCUUCCACAACGCUAUUAGCCUUCGGACGAUAUAGAGUGGAAUUUUGAUGUGCGAUCUUAAACUGUUGACACACUUCUUGCAUCAAAUGACUAUUGAGAUUAGCAGCAUUGUCUGUAAUGAUCAUCUUAGGACUUCCAAACCUACAAAUGAUGUUGGCAUGAACAAAUCUACUACCACCUUCUUUAUCACUGACUUGAAAGUUACUACUUCUACCCAUUUUGUGAAGUAAUCAAUAGCUACCAAAAUGAACCUAUGCCCAUUUGACAAUUUCGGCUUAAUCGGCUCGAUCACGUCCAUCCCCCAAGCUACGAAAGGCCAUGGAGCAGAAAUUGCAUGUAAUUCAGCGGGAGAAGAAUGUAUCAGAUCAUCGUGUACCUGACAUUGAUGACAUUUCCGAACAAAAUAAAUGGAAUCCCUCUCCAUAGUAAGCCAAUAAUAACCUGCUCGAAGUAUCUUCUUUGAUAAGACAUAACCAUUCAUAUGCGGCCCGCAUACUCCAGAGUGAAUUUCAACCAUGAUCACCGAGGCUUCUCUUGCAUCUACACACCUCAAAAGUCCCAGAACCGGGGUUCUGUUAUAUAAGAUUCUCCCACUUAAUAAAAAUCCACUAGCCAAACGCCUAAUAGUCCUCUUUUGAUCACUGGUAGCAUGUGUUGGGUAUUUUCCUGACUGAAUGUAUCGCUUGAUAUCAAAGAACCAAGGUUCUCCAUCGAGCUCUUAUUCAACCACGUUACGGUAAGCAUGCUGAUCACAACUCUGUAUAUGCACUGGAUUGAUGUAGGCUUUAUCAGGAUGUUGGAGCAUUGAAGACAGAAUGGCUAAAGCAUCAGAAAUCUCAUUAUGAAUCCUUGGAAUAUACCUAAAUUUUCUGACAUAAACCGUUGACAUAGCUUUUGCAAGAAUUAUCAAUAUGGUAUGAGCUUCAAAUCUUGCAUCUCCCAAUCGCCGUGAAUAUGAUGGAUAAGAAAAUCUGAAUUCCCCAACACUAAUAGUUCCUGGACUCCCAUAUCAACAGCUAACUUUAAACCAAGAAUGCAUGCUUCAUAUUCCGCUAUGUUAUUGGUAUAAUAAAAUUAAAGUUGCGCUAUUACUAGGAAAUAUUGCCCCAAUUUAGAGAUAAAAACUGCACCUAUUCCGACUCCUUUCAUAUUAACAGCUCCAUCAAAGUACAGCUUCCAACCUAGAUCAACAUCUAUAACGACUUCAUCGACACACAAUACUUCUUCAUUAGAGGAAUAUGUCUUUAAUGUUUCGUACUCUUCAUCAAUGGGAUUCUCAGCAAGAUGAUAUUCCUAGGCUUGGGCUUUCAUGGUGGUUCGAGUCAUAUAUAUGAUGUCGAACUCGGUAAGCAAUAUUUGCCACUUUGCCAAACGGUCGGUCGGCAUAGGCUUAUGAAAGAUAUACUUCAAAGGAUCCAUGCGGGAGAUGAGAUAAGUAGUGUAGGACGAAAGAUAGUGCUUCAACUUCUGUGCUACCCAAGUUAAGGCACAACACAUCCUUUCAAGAAAAGUGUACAUGGCCUCAUAUGUUGUGAACUUCUUGCUAAGAUAAUAAAUAGCCUGCUCCUUUUUGCCCGUGACAUCAUGUUGACCCAGGACACAACCGAAAGAAUUAUCCAUGACCGAUAAAUAUAAGAUCAAAGGACUACCAGGCUCCGGUGGUACCAGCACGGGCGGAUUUGAUAGAUAUCUUUCGAUUUUAUCGAAUGCUUCCUGACAUUCUUCAGUCCACUCUACCGCAACACUCUUUUUCAGCAACUUGAAAAUGGGUUCACACGUGGUUGUGAGUUGAGUAAUAAACCUGCUGAUGUAGUUUAGUCUACCAAGUAAACUCAUCACCUAUGUCCUAUUCUUGGGCGGGGGCAAAUCCUGAAUGGAUUUGAUUUUUGAGGGAUCCAAUUUAAUUCCCCGACGGCUGACUACAAACCCCAACAACUUUCCAGAUGGAACUCCAAACACAUAUUUGCCGGGUUGAGCUUGAGAUUAUACCUGUGAAGCCUUUCAAAGAACUUUCUUAAAUCUUUAACAUGGUUAGCCUGAAUUUUUGACUUAAUAAUUACAUCUUCUACAUAGACCUCAAUCUCCUUAUACAUCAUAUCAUGAAACAUAGUGGUUAUGGCUCUCAUGUAUAUUGCUCCAGCAUUCUUCAAACCAAAUGGCAUCACUCGAUAGAAAUAAGUUCCCUAUGGUGUGAUAAAAAAUGUCCUUUUCGCAUCUUCAUCAUCUAUAAUAAUCUGGUGGUAUCCGGCAUAGCAAUAUACAAAAGAGACAACCUCGUGUUUAGCACAAUUGUCCAGCAAAAUAUGGAUGUUGGGCAACAAAAAAUCAUCCUUCAGACUUGGUCUGUUCAAAUUACGAUAACCAACACAUACUCAAAUUUUGACAUCUUUCUUUGGGAUAGGAACAACAUUGGAUAACCACGUAGGAUAACGAGCCACUCAAAUGACUUUGGCUUCAAGUUGUGUCAUGAUUUCCUCUUUGAUUUUGAUACUUACAUCAGUUUUAAAAUUCCUCAACUUUUGUUUCACAGGGGGAAUGCAGGAUCAGUUGGUAAUUUAUUGGCCACUAAUUCGGUGCUUAGACCAGGCAUAUCAUCAUAAGACCAUGCAAAAACAUCCUUAUAAUCAAUUAAUGCUUGAAUCAUUCUAUCUUUUAGCUGUGGCAAAGAAUGUACACUGAUUUUAGUUUCCCUAACACCUUUUUGAUUCCCUAGAUUAAUUGGCUCAGUUUCAUUCAAAUUAGGAUUCGGCUUGUCUUCAAACUGUUCCAACUCUUUGGUUAUUUCCUCUAGUGCCUCUUCUUCAUCAUAUUCCCCCUCUUGCUUUAUCAUAUUUUGAUUAGUUUGGAUUUUAAGAUUAGACAGAAAAUUCUGCAUGCAUGUCAUGUCAUCAGAAUAAGCAUAAAGAGAAUUGUAUAAAGAAAAAGACAAAACAAAAUAUAUUAGACACGAAACAAAAGGGACAUGGUGUUUCAUUAAAAGGAAAGAUAGGAGGGUUUAAACAUAAAUGCCAACAUAACAUAAACAAACAAAAAUUUGAAUUACAACCCUGAAAUAACUCGGAUAAACAAAAAGAAAAACAAAACAAAAUACCAAAACUCCCUCCUGGCGGGGAGAGAAGUGACUUUCUAAUUGUUGAGCCGGACAGUUGGACCUAUGAAUUGCACGUCUGACUUACUGGUACCUUCUCCUGCUUCAACCAUGUCAACUUCGAUCAACAGGUUCUGGAAGUCAUCAACCAAUUCAGCUCCAAACUCUAUAGCUUCCACGACACUGCUCUUGAUGAAUGACUUACUGAGUAGGGACACUAGGUGAGGGAGUGACCAUGUUUCCUUUUUCCUUUCCUUGGCCUUCUUCAAAUCUUCAGCCGUAGGUUCAAAUCCCAGACCAAAAGUGCCCACGUUCUCAUUCGGACAUAUAGGAUGAACCAUACCGUGCAGAGACACUUCCAAACCCCUUCCUGGCUUGAAUCCAUAUUUUAACAUUUCAUUUAUCAUCAUGACAGAAGUGGGAGACAAUUAUGGCCUUGGAACAACCUGCCCUUCAACGAUACGAUUCACCAACACUAUAUCAAAAGUUUGAUAGACAAAUGUCUCCUCUACAUUAUUUGCUUCAGUAAGGGACAGGGGAGAAUCUUCGUAGGCGGACAAAUCCCCUUCACCAUGAAUAACCACUUCUUGCCUGUCAUGCUCAAACUUGAUUAUUUAGUGCAAUGUAUAUACAACCGCCUUGGCCUUGUGGAUCCACGAUCUUCCCAACAACAGAUUGUAAGAGGAGUCUAGAUUCAAUACUUGAAACUCUAUGGCAAACUAAAUAGAUCCUAUAAUCAACAUUAGUUUUAUUUCGUCAAUGGAGUUUGAUUUUGCACCAUCAAAAGCCCUGACACAUACAUUAUUGGGCCUAAUCCUCUCAACGUCAAUAUUCAACUUUUGCAAAGUAGAAAUAGGGAAUAUAUUUACACCUGAACCUCCGUUAAUCAUGACAUGAGUGACGUAGAAAUCUUCGCAUUUCACUGUAAUGUAAAGACCUCGGUUAUUCCCCGUACCUUCAACAGGCAAUUCAUUGUCAGAGAAGCUGAUCCGAUUGACCUCAAAGAUUUUUCCAACUAUUUUCUCAAGAUGAUUUACUAUAAUCUCCCUAGGAACAUAUGCUUCAUUUAAUAUAUUCAAUAUAAUAUCAUGAUGUUCCUUGGAAUGGAGCAACAAAGAUAAGAGGAAAAUUUGAGCAGGGGUUUUCUUCAGCUGAUCUAUUAUCGAGUACUCUGGCAGCUUCAUAUUUCUCCAAAACUUUUCAAUUUUUUCUUUGGUUAAAAGAUUCUUGAGAGAUGAAGGCCCGCUCACCCCUGAAUUGGGCUUUCUCAAACCUUCAGGUACGAAGCAUCUUCCUGACCGAGUCAGACCACCUACCUCAUCUACAUCUUCCACUACUUCCUUCCCCUGAUAGGUCAUCAUAGUCUGCUUAUAGUUCCAGGGAACCUUUUUUGUAUCAACUAUCGGAGGUUGGGUCACCAGUUUGAGAAUAAUAGGUCCUGCCAAUGCUUCUUUCACCAUCAAGAUAGGCUUACCCGGAGCUCCUACCACUGUCAACUUAGGUUUAUCCUGAUUUGAACCAAUAUUUUUUCUGCCUCCUUUUAUUGUGAUCACGGGUUUCUAUUUUCUUUAUUCGACUUUAUCUUCUUUCAUUUCUUCCUAGCUCAAUGACAUUGCUUUUAAUGAAUCUGCCACAUUCAUCGAUUUGUCCUCAUUGGUCUGUAUUCUGAAAAUAGGAUUAUAACACCUUGACGACUCUUUAUAUAUCAGUUCUAAUAUAUUGGUUUCAGCAUGGGUUGGCAGCGGAUUCUGGUUGAUGUUCGGAACCUUUGGGGCCUACACCAGAAUUUUAUUUGCAUCGAUUAAAUCUUGCAUGGAUCUCUUCAAAUGCCAGUAUUUCUCGAUAUCAAGCCCUGGAAUGUCAAAACAGUACGCACACCUUAAAGAAUAAUCGAGAUUCCUCAGAGGUGGAUUUGAAAGCCUUUCUUAAAUUAGGCUUAAGACCUUCAUCUUUCUCAACCUAUCAAACAAGCUAGCGUAUGACUCCCCAAGAGGUGUGAACUAAUUUUUGACCACCUUCUCAAUUGGUUGCAAUAACGUCUCAAGUGUGCCACGGGAUCACCGUGCCCUGCAUACUUCUCAAACUUGGGCAUUUUAAAAUUGAGGGGAAGGUUGACGUCUGGGAACAUGCAAAGACCUUUAUAGGAAACACUCUUAUAACCUCCGAUUCCCUGAAAAUUCCUCAUGGCCUGUUCCAAACUUUUCAAUUUUCGUGCUUUGACCUUCUGUUCCUCUAUUGCGACAAGUUUCUCCGUAUCAAAUGGAAAUGAAGGUAGCUGAGUAUACCCAUACGGUUGAUUUAUUCUCACAGUAGGCUCUGGGGCAUAAUACUGACUAUCUGAAACCUUCAAUACUGGAUCACUAGCGGACCGAGGAAUUACUAUUGUCGGACGCACAAUAUAGGUGGGAGUUUUAGGUGGUGGAGGAGCCUCAACAACAGGCACUGCCGGUGGCACCGGCUGAGUCACGGGCCUUGAUUGAGGAACUGCCAGGGGCAUACUAGAAGUGCCAGGGUAAUAUUUCCACAGAGUGAAUCCUAGUGCAUGCUCCGAUGACUCAAUGGGAAUAGAGAAUUAUGCCUGAGAGAACGGUGGGCAAUUGGGGAUAUUUCCAAGAUCUGCAGGGAGUGAAGGAGGAGGCAUGCCACUAGCCCAUGCUCGGUGUAGAUCUAGCCAUUGUUUUCUAAGUCUCAAUACCUCAUCAUUGCGUUCUGAACUUUCUUCCCUGGGAUCCUGAUCUGGGUCCAUGAGUGAAUUUUCUAUCUCCCUAUUAGCCAUGGCAAGCUUCGCUUUUGAUCUAGUGAAGUACGGGUGACUAGCCAGAGUGCUGUAAACCAACCACUUAUUUGAAAGAACAUGCUCAUCAAAGACAAAACCCGUUAGGAUUAGGUCACACAACAAGCAUGGGAAUCACAUUUGUAAAAUUAUCCUAGAUUCAUGCGUAUUUCUACCAAACUUUGAGGGUAGCAAGGUCAUUUUAACAUCAUGCCAAUCUUUUUCCUACACCCAUUUGCUUCUUUACUCUAAUCACACCUCUCUUGUUUUGUAUUUUUGUUCGCUUCUCUUUUCUUUCGCAUCAGUCUCUUUCCUUCCUUUUCUUUCUCAUCAUCCUUUCUUUCUUUUCUUCUCUCGCUAUCUACCUUCAUUUUAUCAUUCUUUAUGGCUUUUGAUUUUCUUUAAAAGAGAGAAAAAAUAAUAAUAAUGAAAAACAACAAAACAAAAUGAUUAGAUCAAACCCAAAAGUAGGUUGCCUACAUAUCAUAUCGUAUAUGAAUCAGAUUUUGCGUUCGGUUAAUGCACACACAUAAACACCACAAAGUUGAAGAUUUCUUAUUUUUUUUUUGAAGAUUACAGAAAGGAAACAACUCCGCAACUUCACUACAUUUCAUAAAAGAGACAACUAAACAAACUUCGAAUCUAUCAACUUAAAAACUGAUCAACAAAGACUAAACAACAUUCAAAACCCAAAACACAACAUGCGUAAUACUCCUAGUGAAGACUUUUAAUGUUAGAACAAACUUGACACCGACUUAAAAAGGACACAAUACUAUAAGGUAGAAAAGUAAAAGAGUCAAACUAAACCAAAGAUAGGAAAUGCUUCUUCAAACUGGUGCUCUGCGUGAUAACCCUGGCUGAGAUGGACCGUCUUGUGAAGAUCUCUUUCUCCCACCCAAACUUUGUAACAUAUCCUGUAAAGACACCCUGAUAUUUGGGAAAAAGCUUUUGGCCCGUAUUACCGCUUCAUGGGGAGUGCACCUGGAAAGAUUGUUCUGACACCUUUCUACAAUCUUGAAUAAAUCUGCUAAUUGAACUCUCAGUGUCUCUACUUUGGACCCUGCACUUUCAUCCUGACUAUCAUCAACAAUGCAUUCUCUGGUAUUCUUUCUCUAAGCUGCAUUGGUAAUGGCUUGCUGACACCCCGAGGUAUAGAUUGAAGCCAUACCCCGUAUUCCUAAUGUACCCUGGAUUAUCUGAACCUACUUGGAGAGUAUUCACACCUAGCUGUGUUGCGUGAUUCCAGAAUUCUUCGUAUUUACUCUCUCCUAAGGCUUGAUCCCUAAAAUGCUCAACAUCAUUGAAGAGAUCCAUUACUGGUGGAACGUAUUGCAGUCUACCUAAUUGGCGUAUUACCCUAAGAGGAGAGUACGGUAUAGUGCAAUUGAUCCCUAACAGAACUAAAAGAGGUUGCAUCCGACAACCACAAAGGAUUAUUUUUGGACGAGACCAGAGAUAAGUCCACAGAAUAUUGUCCUCAAAUCUUGACUCAAGAAAUUUAAUCCAAGCAUCGACCCCUAUUGGCAGAAAGAACUUAUCGAAACACAUUCUAUGAUUCAUGGCUUCCACUUGAUCAAAUAUACAAUGAUUCAUCACAUCCGACCUAAUCAAAGAAGGCAUAUGCAAGUGCUCCAUCAUCCAUAAUUGCAAUAUCAGGUUGCUUCCUUCGAAGAAUCUCACCCCUCCUUUUACCUCGGUUAAAGCUUUAUAUAUUUCCGCUAAGUUCAUAGGUACGAGAGUGAAUGUUUUACCUAGUUGUUCAUGAAAUAAGGCCAUCACCAUUAUCUGUAAAUGAGUAUUAAUUUGCCUCUCUUCUAAUGGGAAGACUAGAAUGCCCAACAAGACUAGCGUGAAGACUUCUAGACGAUGUUUCUCCCAAUUCUCCUUAGUUGUAUAAAAUUCAUCCCAAAAGUAAUCAAAACCAUCCGAGGGCCCAAACCGAGCAUACAAAUAAUCAAAGGAUGCCCAAGAUUGUUUAAGACAUAUUAGGUGCUUAUUGGCCUUUAAACCACAACCAUGAACAAAUCGUAUAGGGGAAUGAGUCCGCGCCUGAAUCAUCAUUUUCUUAAUGUAAGGCAACUUACAUAAACUAGAUAUCUCUGCUAGAGUGAGCAUAAUUUCAUAAUUUCCAAAACCUAAACACCAAACAAUCUGGGUCCCAAAAAGUCAAUAUAGCCUCGAUCAGAUCUGGGCGGGGCGUGAGUUCUAGGAGGGAAGUGAGAGCACCUAACUUCUUUGUUAACUCCUGCUGUUCAACGUAGUUAAACAUGUCCCACCAUUUGAUUAACUUUCUGGGCACCUUGGCAACCAUCAUGACUCUAGACUUUGUCAUCCCCAGCAGAGUCGCCAGAGCUGUCACACCCCUUUUUAACUCCAAAAAAAGAUUCGUUUUAAGUUCGAAAGGGUUUUUAUUAUUAAGUGACAAAAGAAAAUGAUUUUUCCUUUGAAAAAGGAUUAUUUUUACAUUCAAACUUAGAGUCGCCAAUUGGCAUAAUCCGGUGUGCCAAGUCACCUUUGGAAAAUCCUUUUUGAAAUGAUUUGACUCUUAAAAAGACUGGUUUGCGAACAGAGAUUCCGUCUAAGGAAUUCUGUUGACCGAGGGAAAGGUGUUAGGCACCCCUCGAUCCCGUGGUUCGACCACGGUCGCUUGGUGGAGCGUAUCGGCUAAUUUUGACACUAAAAAUGUACAAACCACACAAAACACGUAAAACAAUCAAACAAACAAACAAAAAAAAAAUCCAAAAAAAUGUAAUGUUCAGUCCAAUUUAUACAGUCCAAAAUAGAGAAAUGCAAAAAAGUAAAUCCUAUCUAACCUAUACUAAUCUUCACUAUGCUCCCUUGCAUUACCCGAUGCCGCGGGCCUUCAUCAAGGAUGUCUUCCAAGUACAAAAUACUUUGGGGCAUUCUCCGGAUAAAAUAAUAUAAGUACUUUGGGGUAUUCCCCGGCCAAAUGAUACAAUUAAAUCCAAAUGCGAUAAACAAAACCAUUCAACACAUAUUUCAAACAUUCCACAAUUCACCAUUUCUAAAUUUGCCUACCCAAACCCAAGAUUUUCCUAUCAAUUCUCGGCAUAACACAUGAUACUAUCGAUUUCAAUGACAUUAAUAACCAUUUCAAAUUUAACAACAAUUGAUGAAUCAAAACACAACAAUAUUCAUUUUUAUCAACUUUCAAUUCCAGUCUUCCUCAAUUUCAUUGUCAAAACUAAUUCAACAAUUCUUCGACUAUCUAAUCCAACAUCAACCACACGCAACAAAAUUCAAGCAUGUCAAACACACAAAUCACCCAAAAUUACAUAAAAUUAAAAGGGAGAUAGAAUUGGACCUCAAUUAGGAUUUUAUUCCAAAUAUCAGUCAAUCGAGAGGACGAAUCCGCAUGCCGAAGAACCUCGAUUUGGAACCUCAAUUCGAACCCAAGCUCCGGUAUCAAAAAAAAUUUGAGAUCCAAAACUGAAUCCUCGAUCUAGUGUGAAGAACGAUGAAUCAACACAGAAAUUGCUACAAAACCCACCAAACCUGAACUCGAAACUAUCGCAAAAUUGAUUCAAACCAGAAAAUAAUACCUUCGCUAUUUUCCUCACUCUGACCAGUUUUAUCUCACUCGAGAUCUCCUAUGUUUUUCUCUCUAUUCUCCUUCUUGCGUCUCUCUCUCCAAACACUCUUUUUUCUUUCUGUUUCACAUCUCAAUCAUCAUUUUUGUGUUGUUCCUGUUCUUUAUCAAGUGUAAAAAAAUAGAGUAUGUGCCUAGUAGUGUUCUGUGUAUUUAGUGAAGUUGAGUGUUACGUGUGCCGUGGAGAAGAAAAAGAAAAAUGGAGUUCAUCCAUGGCUACUGUCAUGUGCUUCCAGGAAGAAAUGGAAUUCUGUAUGUUCAAUAAUGGAAAGGGUCCCCUUUUUUUCUUUUUUUUUUUUCCAUCCAUCCCCCCUUAAAUUCCAAGAAAUGGCCUUAUACUCAAGGAUUGUGGGGUCCACCAGUGAGGUGCCUUUUUU